rnacentral:rRNA from 1 species
CCUACGGGAGGCAGCAGUGAGGAAUAUUGGUCAAUGGGCGCUAGCCUGAACCAGCCAAGUAGCGUGAAGGAUGACUGCCCUAUGGGUUGUAAACUUCUUUUAUAUGGGAAUAAAGUGCAGUAUGUAUACUGCUUUGCAUGUACCUUAUGAAUAAGGAUCGGCUAACUCCGUGCCAGCAGCCGCGGUAAUACGGAGGAUUCGAGCGUUAUCCGGAUUUAUUGGGUUUAAAGGGAGCGUAGGCGGGUUGUUAAGUCAGUUGUGAAAGUUUGCGGCUCAACCGUAAAAUUGCAGUUGAUACUGGCAUCCUUGAGUACAGUAGAGGUAGGCGGAAUUCGUGGUGUAGCGGUGAAAUGCAUAGAUAUCGCGCAGAACCCCGAGUGCGAAGGCAGCGUGCCGUGCCGCCACUGACGCUGAGGCACGAAAGCGCGGGGAUCGAACAGGAUUAGAUACCCGGGUAGUC